rnacentral:rRNA from 1 species
CCUACGGGAGGCAGCAGUGGGGAAUAUUGCACAAUGGGGGAAACCCUGAUGCAGCGACGCCGCGUGAGCGAUGAAGUAUUUCGGUAUGUAAAGCUCUAUCAGCAGGGAAGAAAAUGACGGUACCUGACUAAGAAGCCCCGGCUAACUACGUGCCAGCAGCCGCGGUAAUACGUAGGGGGCAAGCGUUAUCCGGAUUUACUGGGUGUAAAGGGAGCGUAGACGGCUGUGCAAGCCAGAUGUGAAAGCCCGGGGCUCAACCCCGGGACUGCAUUUGGAACUGUGUGGCUGGAGUACAGGAGGGGCAGGCGGAAUUCCUAGUGUAGCGGUGAAAUGCGUAGAUAUUAGGAGGAACACCGGUGGCGAAGGCGGCCUGCUGGACUGUGACUGACGUUGAGGCCCGAAGGCGUGGGGAGCAAACAGGAUUAGAUACCCCAGUAGUC